CGGGGUGUAGCUCAGCCUGGUAGAGUACCUGCUUUGGGAGCAGGGUGUCGCUGGUUCGAAUCCAGUCACCCCGACCA
rnacentral:tRNA from 3 species